rnacentral:tRNA from 1 species
GGGCCCGUAGCUCAGUUUGGAUAGAGCGCUGGCCCUCUAAGCCGGAGGUCCGGGGUUCGAAUCCCCGCGGGCCCGCCA